AUUGAACGCUGGCGGCAGGCCUAACACAUGCAAGUCGAACGAGUGGCGGACGUGAGAGUAAUGUCUGGGAAACUGCCUGAUGGAGGGGGAUAACUACUGGAAACGGUAGCUAAUACCGCAAACCAUGAGAUGUGCCUAGGUGGGAUUAGCUAGUUGGUGGGGUAACGGCUCACCAAGGCGACGCUCCCUAGCUGGUAUGAGAGGAUGACCGGCCACACGGGAAAUGAGACACGGUCCAGACUCCUACGGGAGGCAGCAGUGGGGAAUAUGGCACAAUGGGCGCAGGCCGGAGGCAGCCAUGCCGCGUGUAUGAAGAAGGCCUUCGGGUUGUAAAGUACUAUCAUCGGGGAGGCGUUACCCGCAGAAGAAGCACCGGCUAACUCCGUGCCAGCAGCCGCGGUAAUUC
rnacentral:rRNA from 1 species